rnacentral:rRNA from 1 species
AUUGAACGCUGGCGGCAGGCCUAACACAUGCAAGUCGAACGAGUGGCGGACGGGUGAGUAAUGUCUGGGAAACUGCCCGAUGGAGGGGGAUAACUACUGGAAACGGUAGCUAAUACCGCAUACCAUCGGAUGUGCCCAGAUGGGAUUAGCUAGUAGGUGGGGUAACGGCUCAUCUAGGCGACGAUCCCUAGCUGGUCUGAGAGGAUGACGAGGCACACUGGAAAUGAGACACGGUCCAGACUAGUACGGGAGGCGGCAGUGGGGAAUAUUGCACAAUGGGCGAAAGCCUGAUGAAGCCAUGCCGCGUGUGUGAAGAAGGACUUCGGGUUGUAAAGUACUUUCAGCGAUGAGGCGUAACACUUAGAUGAAGCACCGGCUAACUCCGUGCCAGCAGCCGCGGUAAUUC